CUUCCAAUUUAGACUAGACUAUUUAUAAUUUAUAUAUAUGUAUAUAUAUAUAAGUACACAUCGUUUUUACUAAUAAUCAAACCACAUGGAUAAUCCAUGCAUCGAUCGGUCAAUACUAAAAAACAUGACACAUGCGCU